rnacentral:miRNA from 1 species
CUUAUAAUUGUAAUUAUGAUC